UACCCCUGACUGCAGCCCGCAGACGGAGCCCACAUGGAGGGGGCGGGCACUCAGUCCACAUGGAGGGGGCUGGCACUCCGCCCACAUGGAGGGGGCGGGCACUCAGUCCACAUGGAGGGGGCGGCCACUCAGUUCACAUUGAGGACUGGUCAAACAGCAUUUCUGAUCCCGUUUCUGACCUGAAAUUAGCUGAAAUGUACCUGAAAUUACCUGAAAUUAGAGUGUGCCCGCCCGAGCGAGUGAUGCCUAAAACAUGCAAGUAAGUGAGACUGUCAAAAUGCUUAAUAUAUUUAGUAAUAUUCAUGCAAUUGUGUAUUAUGUCUUGUUAACUACUUAAUCGUCAAAUCCCGCCGGCGAGAAAGUUUUAGUUACACCUAGCAUGUUCCCCCGAACAUGCUAGGUCAAUUUUCAGCAUCAUAAGGUUGAGUGAUAUAGUCAUGUCAUACACCGUUUGAAAGCUUAGAAUCUCAGGAAUGUCAACCAAUGUCAACCAUUCGGUGUAAUAAAUAUGUUUAGUGAAUAUAGAUCAAAUAUAUCCUAGUGUCUCAGGUCAAAAUAGCCCCCCUCACCCUCCCCCACCCUUGGUGCAUUCUUACUUUAUCGUCGUUGUGGAUAUCCUUAGCAAUGAGUUGAUACUUCAUGUUGGGUCUUGAAAUGUUCAUAAGAGUCCACAGAAAUAGAAUAUCAAUAUUAUUUUAGUCUAAUUACAUUGUGUAUAUGCACAAGCCAUCUUAUACAAAGCAGCCGAAAAAAAGAAAACCGAAACGCUGCAAUGUUUUUUUGUAGAAAACUGCUUUUAUGUUUAUACUGGUUUUCUUUGACUUUUAGAGACACCAUCAAUAUACAAGUUAUAGCCUACUCCAUGGCUGAUCUAUUGCACUACUAGGGCCUACUUUUAUUAUUCCAUUGUAUUAGCCUACUCAACAUUACAGACAACAAUCUGUUUUAUUUCCAGACAAAACUGAAGACCAGGAACUGGAACCUGGGAACCUGGAAGAUGAUGUUGUCCUGAAGAACACAAUUCAGGCAGCAGCAUGGUGCCAGUUACAGUCUUUCAAGGACAGUGUUUCUCUCCCAGAGGUCAUUGGGAUGGAAGGUUGGGAGCAGAUGGCAGCAUCAACACAGCGCAAAUCCCAUGACGGGGGGGAUGAGGAAGAAACGUGGAAACCAUUCCAAUUCUCAUUCAGAUUACAUACUGACUAUGAACUGUUCUGUGUGGAGAUGAUGGACAGGAGAAACCUGAAGGUGUUUGCCUCUUUUGAGUCAAACACCUCUCCCCCUCCCCGUCCCCCCUCCCCGUGACGCCUGCGCCACACGACUCCAGUAGUCUGAUGAUGCAGCAUAAUGGCGGCGCUUGGCAGCUAUGGCGGCGGUGACGGCGAUGUCGGGCGACAGAGCGUGAAGCGAGAGUGGCGUCCAACUCACUGAGGAAGGCGUCAGUGUGUUCCCCCCCGUUGAGACUUUGUUUGUUCUACUCUUUAUUGAUAUAUCUUUUAUGUUAAUAGUUUACAAUCUAUUUUUUGUAGUUGUUAUUUUUUAAUCGUUUUGUUGAAUAAAAAGACUGUUGUUAGUGCUCCUGUGA